rnacentral:rRNA from 1 species
AUGGGGGCCUCAACUGCUGUGCAAUGGUGGGAUGAGUGGCAGCUUCGCGUCCUGGUGUUGGGCAGUCUUGGUGUUCAGUUCUUCCUCGCUUUUUUCUCUCGCAGCCGUAAGUCCCGUAUACCCGACUGGUUCAGAUUUUCCAUAUGGCUUUCGUUCCUAGGAAGCGAUGCGCUCGCAAUAUAUGCCCUCGCCACGCUCUUCAACCUUCAAAAAAGGUCCCUAGCUGAAGACGACGGCCGUGGUUUGGAGGUCUUAUGGGCACCUGUACUUCUAAUGCACCUCGGUGGGCAGGCCGCUAUAACGGCCUACAAUAUUGAAGACAAUGAGCUAUGGAAACGGCACAUAGUUACUGCCGUGUCUCAGGUACAUACAACAUGCGCGUAG